rnacentral:rRNA from 1 species
ACUCCUACGGGAGGCAGCAGUGGGGAAUAUUGGACAAUGGGCGCAAGCCUGAUCCAGCCAUGCCGCGUGAGUGAUGAAGGCCUUAGGGUUGUAAAGCUCUUUUGCCGGGGACGAUAAUGACGGUACCCGGAGAAUAAGUCCCGGCUAACUUCGUGCCAGCAGCCGCGGUAAU